GGUUUCCAGGCUACCCCAGCAGCUCGAUGAAAGGAGAUAAGCUGAGGACGGUUUCCAGGCCCUCCCCAUAGGCAGACCCCCAUGGCCUUGCAGCCAAGAAGAGAGCAAAGUGUGAGAGGGCUUCAAAGGGAAAGCCUGCAUUCACCAUAGGAAUAAUGCAGUGCAGCAUGUGGGUAUGGAUUGUGCAUGGAAAGCAGGGGCUGCUCCUUGUAUUAGGGGACUGCGCCGAUCUUGUGUGGGGACUGGGAUCUAUGCAACAGACCACGGGCUUCACUUUCUGCCUCCGGACCUCAGAAGGCACUUGAGGGGCACAGUGGGGCAGGAGAGAUGAAAAAGAAAGAAAAUCCCAUUUUUGGCGGAAUGAGAAUACCAGCAGAGUAACUCCGUUUACAGAAAGUACACUGCGAUUAAUUGAAUUGUUGCUGCAUUCAAAGUCAUGUGGUAAUUAUACUGGAAGAAAUGAAAUCUAGUUAUCACCCUGGCAAUUUUAGCAGACAAGUAAGGUGAAAAGCAAAGUACAGAAGAAAACAUAAAAACAACUGGAGAUGGCGAGAUAACAGCAGCAUCGGUCACUUGUCUCUGUAUUUGCCAGAUCAGAGUAUUUCACAAUCCCAGAGAAAAGCAGUGCUGGUUGGACACGGCCCAGUGAGCCUGACACACCUUUUUUUUUCUCCUUGUUCGCUGGAUGUGUCUCCCCUUAGUUAAAUCUGAUCUCUCUCUCUUAUCUGUAAUUAUCUUUUUCUUUCCAUUUCUCACACUAUCGGUCCUUCUUCUAUAAAAUGUUCAGUAUCUUUCUGUUCUAUGCAUUUUUCUAUGCACCAAAUUUCUUAUUAAAGUUAGUUAUUCCUGUUUCUUUAAUUUUAGCUUUACAACAUAAUUUCUCUAUUUUACAGUGUCAUCUUUUGUUUUUAACCUAUACAUCAUUUUUUCUUCUAUCCUUACAUAUUUUAAUCACCGAUUCCGUUGCUUACUCCUCUCAGUAUCAUAAUCUUCUUAUUUAAUAAUCAAUCUCAUUUAUUUUACAAUUUAGUUUUUGUCGUUUUCAAGAACUAUAUUCUGUAAUAAAAAAUAAAAUUGAAAUGGCUAUUUUCUAAAA